rnacentral:rRNA from 1 species
CAGCAGCCGCGGUAAUACGUAGGGUGCGAGCGUUAAUCGGAAUUACUGGGCGUAAAGCGUGCGCAGGCGGUUCGUUAAGACAGAUGUGAAAUCCCCGGGCUUAACCUGGGAACUGCAUUUGUGACUGGCGAGCUAGAGUAUGGCAGAGGGGGGUAGAAUUCCACGUGUAGCAGUGAAAUGCGUAGAGAUCUGGAGGAAUACCGGUGGCGAAGGCGGCCCCCUGGACAAAGACUGACGCUCAGGUGCGAAAGCGUGGGGAGCGAACAGGAUUAGAUACCCCUGUAGUCCCUGUCUCUUAUAU